rnacentral:rRNA from 1 species
UCGAGAAUCUUCGGCAAUGGACGCAAGUCUGACCGAGCGACGCCGCGUGCAGGAUGAAGGCCUUCGGGUUGUAAACUGCUGUGGAGAGGGAGUAAACAAUGAACGAUCUCUCUAGAAAGCACAGGCUAAGUUCGUGCCAGCAGCCGCGGUAAGACGAACUGUGCAAACGUUAUUCGGAAUCACUGGGCUUAAAGGGUGCGUAGGCGGCUAUGAAGGUGAGAUGUGAAAUCCCACGGCUCAACCGUGGAACUGCGUUUCAAACCGCAUAGCUCGAGGGAGGCAGAGGUGAGUGGAACUACAGGUGGAGCGGUGAAAUGCGUUGAUAUCUGUAGGAACACCGGUGGCGAAAGCGACUCACUGGGCCUCUUCUGACGCUGUGGCACGAAAGCUAGGGUAGCGAACGGGAUUAGAUACCCCCGUAGUCC